rnacentral:tRNA from 1 species
GGAGGGGUGGGUGAGCGGUCUAAGCCGCUAGUUUGGAGAACUGGUGUACCUUCGGGUACCGCGGGUUCGAAUCCCGCCCCCUCCG